UCCCCUGUGCUGCCAAUGGGCGUGAGCCGACUACUGUAGCUUUUAUGUGCAAGGAGGAAUCAAUGCACCGGUUUGAUAUCUUGUCAGCUACCUCCAACUACACCACCAUUCCUGGAAUGUUUCCAAAUAUGUUUCCUCUAGGAGCUGGCCAGUUCCCAACUCUUCCUGUGAUGCCAGUGCAAGCAAUGACACAGCAGGUAUGUUCAUUGCUGAUUUAUGUAUAACAUUGCAUAAUUUAUUCAUGUU